CAAUGAUUCUAAAUCAGAGUUAAGAACUUUAGAACAAAACCUAUCUGAAAGGGAUGCAGAGAUUCGAAAGUACGAAAAGACACUAAAGGAGUCCGAAAAGAAGCUGAAAGAUAAAGUUAGAG